UGGUUUAAGCAAGCAUACUGGUGGUUCCAGGUUUACUAUGGAGCACAGUCUGAAAAUGGUAUUGUAUUUCACUUUUUAAUUCUUUAAUUAACUAUUAUUACAUAUUUCAUGAUAUUAACAAUAGAUUUAUUAUUUUAAAUUUAUAUAAAUUUUAGGUUAAAGAAUUGCACUGUGAUCCUGAUUAAUGGGAGGUAUUUAAGAAGUUACAUAAAAAAAAGAAUGGAACCUUUGUUGAUGCUAGGUCUCAGAGUAUUAAUGAUCAAAUGGAGGUUGCUGCUGCUACUAAUGCUACUUCGAACUCACAGAAUGACGAUUCACAGGAGAUCUCAAUAAAUGUGAAUUGCCUAUACUUGGAUAUUGUGGGUGGAGAGAAGAAGCGGCACGUGUACGGUUUGGGCUCUCAUGCUUCAACUUUACCCAAACUCAUUCAGUAGCUCUACGACUUCACGUAGGACAGUUACGGUGACAGAUCUUGUUGCUGAUGAGCGCAUUAGAGUGCUUGAGGAGGAGAUCAUGCGCAUGAGGGAAAAUAAAGAGUGAAUUCUUCAGCAACGCGUUGAGGAGGAGGUAUUACGCCUCAGGCAACAGAGUGAAUAGCAGUUUCGCUCUAUGCAAGAGGAGAUGAGGUGUAUGAUGAGGCAAAUGGCGUCAUCAUCCUACCCUUCAAGUGAUUCUGUUGAUCCCCGUAAUCAGAGCACACUAAAUCUAUAGCUUGAUAUUAUUUAUAUACAUUUGUUAACUGAACUUAUUACUCGGAUGGUUAACUUUAUACUUUUAUAUAAUAUAUGGUAUUUUUAUUUGCUAA